CUGGAAUUCCUGGCGGCGAAGGGCGUCGACCUCAACGCCAGAACCAAGAAUGAAAGCACACCUCUUCACUGAGCUGCCGACGGAGGAGACCUUCCUGCGGUGGAAUUCCUGGCGGCGAACGGCGUCGACCUCAACGCCAGAAACUGCUAUGGGCGAGGUGGCAGCCGAGGGCGAGGUGGCAGCGAGGGC
rnacentral:lncRNA from 1 species